AUGGAGGCAGAUGAUCCGCUGUGGCGACCCAUAAAGGGAGCAGCCGAAAGAAGAAGUGCUAAAACAUUAGCAUCAGAGUUUUUCUUACCAUCUGGAUUUGUCAAAGUAUUUUCUUUGUACAUGUUUUUCAGGGCAUUAUUUUUCUGUGAUUAUGUAUUUAUUUGUGUUUGUUGUAGAUUGUGUGCAAUUCUUUUGUUUUGCUGUUACAGGCUGCCUGCAGGCUACAUCCUGUACAGUUGGUCAGCUUCCUUUGUGCUGAAGGAACCGAAUGGCUCCCUCUCUCCUUUGGUAUCCUGUUCUGUUCUUUAUCUCCUCUGUCUGCUUGCACCUGCAAGCUUUCUAAAAACGCCCUUCUUGUCCAAAAUGAUGAACCCUUGCCAUUGUCCAAAUUGAAGAACCUAUACUUGCAUAAACACCAAAUCCUGUGGGAUUCUAACCAGAUCUGUUGUACCCUGUAUACUGUUUUCCUGUGAUUUGUUUCAGGUCAGACGAUUAUUUAAAGAAGCAGUUUUUCCAGUUGAAGGCCAUCACUACAGGGGCCCCAGACCAUUUGCAGCUGAAGACACACAUUCACAUCAUUCACUGAAGCUGUAGUUACUGGUCAUAUCUCAUAGCCGUACAUUGCAAGAGCAAAACAAACAGCAGCUUCAAGUGUGUAUAUUUAUACAUGAACAUUUACUGUUGAAGGAUUUUAGGCUUGUGCAUUUAUUUAAUUCAUUUUGUCAUUUUAUAGUUUAUUCAUAGUUUAAGCCAGCUUAAAGCUCUUGAGAAGGUGAAGAAUCGUAAUACUUGGGAUUCAGUCAUUUAAUUUUUGAAUCAUAUGAAUGUUUAACGCUUCUGUUUAAUUGAAUAAUACAGUGUGUACAUUGUUUCUGCUUCUGAACAUUUCUAAGCAUAUUAAGUUUAAAUUAAAAAUGAAAGUUUAUUAGAAGCUGUUAGUACUUCUUUCAGCUGCUGACUGUAGGAAGUGUGUCACCUAAGGAGAUAUAAUCACAACACAAGUUCUCCUUUAGUAAGCUGAUCAUCUUCUGGGUACUGACUUUAGAAGUGGUAAGGACAGGAAACGUAUCAGUCCAAUCUUAAUAGCACAGUCUGCUGUUUAGUGUAACUGCUGGGAACAUUGUCUGGCUUUACUGCAGUCUGUAUAAGCUUGUGCUGCAUUAGUAGCUCUGAUCCAGUAACUGCGCAGUGUAUACUGUUUGGCCCUCAGGUUUGCCGGUUUCGCUCAUUCGUUGUACCGUCUGUGUGAAUCUGUUAUUUCUCUAUAAAGUCCAGUCGUGUUUGUCUGCGCUGUUACAGUAGAAGCUUCACCUCCAGCCCUUUCCUCCUCUAGACCCUGGACAGAGCACUCCGCUGUCUGUCCGGAGCCACAUGGUGUUCAGAGAUCGGGCGGGCAGGUUCGGGUUUUUUGACCCUCACUGCAGAACUCCCGCCGGUUUAACGGCUGCAGAGCACAUGUGUACAGCGGUGAUACUCACUUUCGCAAACUUAGAAAGGCUGCUAAUUCUGUAUCAGGCGUGCCUCGAACUGAAUGAAAGUCGGCAAUACGAUCUCCUUCCCGUGUCCUUUGUGAACAGAGAUACGGCCACUCCUGCAGACACGCAAGGCAAACUGUCUUGUGAGAUUCAAACAAUUGUAGACCCAGGUUCCAGUCUAUGAUGUGAUCUCUGCCAGUCUGUGGAACAACCCAUUUACACCAAAAACAUGCUAAGAAAAAAGCAAUCCAUCCAAACAGAGGAGAAAAAGACAGGGAUAAAGCGGAAGAACAGAGAUGCGAGCGAUCUAAAAGAUGAAACAGUGAGAGUGAAUUAUACUGAAAAUGUAAAUUACAGACUUGCAAAUCAAAAGUCAGAAAGAGUGAAUUCCAUGAUAGUUUAUUAAAGGGAAAGAUGCCUUCCACUGUUAAUGUUUUACCCAGACCGAGGAGCGAAGUACAACUGCUCAGUGAAACUGUAAAGACGACUGUGCUACACAGGCCAUUAUCAGUUCCAGACAAUAUCCGUGCAGAAAGUUCUUUCUGCUCUACUAAAACUAAAAGAAGUGCAUUCUGAGUACAGAGAUAUUGUGAUAAACAACAUGGAGCCAGAUGAAUUAUUUGAUGACCCUGUACAUGACGACGACGAUGAUGCUCCAGUGGACGCUAAAAGCAACACUGGCAGGGAGGACACACCACAACAGAACCCUGAGAGUCAACAACAUGAUGAAGGUGAAAGCACAGAACAGCAGGCAGGACUCUCCUUAGACACGUCUUCAACCACCAGACCUCGGUCAGCAUUUGUUGUCAUAUAAUGAUGGGAGUUUUUUUGCAUCGCCCCUGCUGAGAGGAAUAAUCCAGUAAGCAUAUUCAAAGUUCCUAAACUGGAAGCAAUGGCCUUUCCUGUCCAGUUUCCUACAGGUGAAAACACAUUUGAUGAACCUCACAGACACACAGCUCUCCCACCCAGCAGAUACUUCAAUGCCAGGCUGUUUUCUGCUGAUAAUCGCUUUGCAAGGGACACAAACUACAUUUUCUUUGCACAGUUUGUGACUGAAAUGCAUUUAGCUACUUCAAGCAUGUCCAUUCAGCUGAGAAAAGCCAAAUCCAUGACCCGUGAUGGAUGCAGAAUCAACAGCGCACUGUUACAGGAUUAACAAGAAUUAGAUAAACUGGUGAGAAACAAUGAGGGAACCAGAUUCAUGCAGCCCCUGAGAGGAACACCUGCUUACUGGGGAAAAAACCCUAAGAGAUCUGUUUGCCAUGCUCAGACAGUUGGGAACUCCCACCUUCUUCUGUACAUUCAGUGCUGCAGAGAUGAGAUGGCCCGAGGUAAGCACAGUCAUUAGCACAGCAAGGUGAAACUGUGGACUUCUCAGCCUUAGACUGGUCAGAGAAAUGUGAGAUUCUGCGCAGUAAUCCAGUCACAGCCAUGCGCAUGUUUGAGAAACAUGUAGAAGCUCUCAUGAACCUCAUUCAGUCUCCUGCACAACCCAUCGUUGAAGUGAUCAACUACUUCUAUCGUGUAGAAUUUCAACAACGAGGCUCUCCACACAUUCACUGUUUAUUCUGGGUAAAAGAUGCUCCAGAAUUUGAAAAUGAUAUGGAUCAAGGUGUUUGUACUUCUGACACGAUUCUGUGUAGUUCGGUGUCUGUGUUUGGGUCUGGCAGUUUGCACGAGAUGUAUCUGUCAAAUCACAAACACACAGCAGAAACCACUUAAAAUCAUGCAAAAAGAACAAACACUGCAGGUUUGGAUUUCCUAAACCACCUAUGGCAAAAACAAUCAUCACACGGCCCAGACCACCCCCUGACACUGACUCAAAUGAUGACGGUGGAGAAAAAAAUGAAACUGUGACGCACACAAAACCAAAGCUUCAGCCUGUCUGGGAUCUGUUGUACGAUGCAACUUAGCACUUUGACAGCAUUACAC
ensembl:lncRNA